CAACUUUAAGAUCAGAACACUUAGAUAAUAGAAUUGAGGAUCUCCAACCUCAACAUUGAACCUAAACUAGUGCAAAAUAACCAUAAUUAACAUAUGAGAACCAUAAUUGCUCAAAACACUUAGAGUAUUAAUAACAACUCAUGUCCAGAGUUAACCCGUGAAGAAAAGAAGACCAACCAAGCGGAGAUAGCUUUGUUACUAUCCAAUGUCAUUUAAAUUACAGAACCAUUGUCAUUUAAGCUAUAGAAAAGAAAGCAAAGUCUAACAUAAUGUCCAUGUUCAUGGUCGUUUUAACAGGACCAUAUCCAAAACCUCAAUUGAGCAAAUACCAUUUGAGAAGAGCUAGGAACAAAUAUAGAUACAAAAAUAACUAUAAACUAAGGGUUUAACAAUUAGACAUCAGAAAUUCCCCUUUUAUUCUUCAAUCUCCAUUUUUGAGCAUAUCACACUGUGUAGAGUUCAAGAGAGGAGUACCUGGAUUACAGCAGUAAACAAGGAAGCUAUGAGCUUAGGUAACAACAAUAGCAGUAAAUCAACAACAUAAUUCAACAGAAGCAGUUAUAAUGUUCAGCAAGCAAAAUUGCCCAGAAAUGACUGAGGAAGAUCAACUUAAAACCCAAAGUUGAACCAGCAAUAUAUCAGUAAAACCAAAAUGGAAACAUUGGAAGGCAGCCUCACUCGACCAACAACCAUAUCAAUUUCAAACUCGAACCUCAAACAUCCAACCUCGAUCCAUUUUAAAACUAAAUCAAUUGGAAAAUGCUUUCAGGAAUUGACCACCUGAGAAAUCACAGAAUGAGUUCCCCAUGAAACAGUAAUUUUACUCCAAUUUUCAGCUGUCUUUUAUUAUUAUUUUUUAGGAUUGUUUAUCCUUUUAAGUUUGCCUUCUAAGUCAAGAAGAGCUUCCUUUAUAGGCAAGCAAACUAGGGUACCCUUAUAUUUUAGUUUUCAUUUUAGUCCUUUAGUUUUUGACUUGUGGAUCAAGUUAAGCCUAAAACUUACUGUCGGACCCCCUACUAGAAACUUCUAAGGAUGUUACCAAAAUAUUCCCUAGGUGUAUUGUCCAGUUUACCCCUUAGUAGCCUUGUUAUUUACCCACAAAAAGUUCAGCCCAAGAUUGUAAUGCAAAUCUAAAUGACCCUAAUUUCAUACUUGGAUUAUUUCUUAAUUACUUAAAAUUGGAAGCUACUAUUAUGGAUUAUCAGUCAAAUAGGAGAAGAAAAUAAACAAAACUAAUUAAGCCAAAUGAAAUAUGCUACAAUAAGUAAUUUCAAACCUAAAACCUAAGAAGAUAAGCAGGCAAGAAGUCUAGGUACAACUGAUUGAACAUGAAGGAUAACUGGAUUCAAACUAGUCGCAAUAAAUGAAGAUUCAAAUAUAAAGUGGAAUUCAUAUCAACAACAAAGCUCUACAACUUGACUAAAAUCAUGAAAUUCAAUUCCAAACAAAGAACACCGAAAAUUAAUUAAACUCGUGAACCUUCGACCCAACAGAAUUUGACAUGAAAGCCCAACUAAAAAAAUGACUAAUACCAUUUUAAUUAAACCAAACUAAAACCUAACCUAAACCUUGAAAUUAAGCACUAACAACCAAAUAUACAGAAAUGAAAUGAAGAAGAAGGAAAUUAAAAGUAAACAGAUAACUCAGCUUAAUUUUUUUUGAAUUGAACCCAAGGCUAGGUUUUCUUCCUUCUCAAACCCUUGUUUUGAAAUUGCUGAGAUGAAGGGAACGAAAAUAUGUUUGGUGAUAUUUUGGGAAAGUUUUGGGUGAAUUAGGGUUCUAGCUCGAAUUUCGAUCUAAAAUUCAAGGCAUUUGGGAGGGAUUCGAAGGUUGUCAGUUGUGGAUUCAGAAAGAGGAGGGUGAGGAGGCCAUGGGGUGUAAAAAUGGUGGUGAUUGGGGGUGGCGCCGCCUUACACGACGGCUGAGUUAGUGAUUCAAACCAAUAUUUGAAGCAUUUUGCUAAGGUUCGAGGGCAAGUGGUUAUGGAUUUGGAUAGAGGAGGGGAAGGCCGUCAAGUGGUGUUAAUUUGGUGUGACAUGGAGUUCUGCCGCCGCCGGAGGCGAUUUCUAGCUGACGGCGCACGGCGGAGGACGGUGGCGUUAUGUUCUCUGAUGAACAGGUGAGAGGUUAGAGAUGGGGGUGGGUUUG
rnacentral:lncRNA from 1 species